AUSAAACCGCGCUUAAUCUGACAGCUACUUUGCUGUAAAACCUUGUAAAACAGAAACUUUAUAUAGAUGUUAUUUAAAUAGUUAUAAAACUGUCGACUUCUUGAAGGUUGUGGCUGAGAUGCUGAAAGUAUUCGGUGUUUUACAUACCAAAGUUGACUAGACUCUGUGAGGUCAAACUACUUGCAUGUAAAUCAUUUUAGUAAACAGAAAUCAUAAUAUUGGAGCCGCUAUGAUUGACGAAGAUAUAUUGUUUAUYGAGCUCGAAGCUGCUGUGAAGAAAGAAUUCGAGGCAAAUUUACCAAAUGGCUGGAUACUGAGCCAAUCGAAAAACCAUGGCAGAAUGUACUAUUUCAAUAAAACUACGGGCGAAAGCCGCUGGUUUCACCCUCUAAUACCAAAUG